rnacentral:rRNA from 1 species
GGGUUGUGAGGUUAAGCGACUAAGCGUACACGGUGGAUGCCCUGGCAGUCAGAGGCGAUGAAGGACGUGCUAAUCUGCGAUAAGCGUCGGUAAGGUGAUAUGAACCGUUAUAACCGGCGAUUUCCGAAUGGGGAAACCCAGUGUGAUUCGUCACACUAUCAUUAACUGAAUUCAUAGGUUAAUGAGGCGAACCGGGGGAACUGAAACAUCUAAGUACCCCGAGGAAAAGAAAUCAACCGAGAUUCCCCCAGUAGCGGCGAGCGAACGGGGAGGAGCCCAGAGCCUGAAUCAGUGUGUGUGUUAGUGGAAGCGUCUGGAAAGGCGCGCGAUACAGGGUGACAGCCCCGUACACAAAAAUGCACAUGCUGUGAGCUCGAUGAGUAGGGCGGGACACGUGGUAUCCUGUCUGAAUAUGGGGGGACCAUCCUCCAAGGCUAAAUACUCCUGACUGACCGAUAGUGAACCAGUACCGUGAGGGAAAGGCGAAAAGAACCCGGCGAGGGAGUGAAAAAGAACCUGAAACCGUGUACGUACAAGCAGUGGGAGCCUCUUUAUGGGGUGACUGCGUACCUUUUGUAUAAUGGGUCAGCGACUUAUAUUCUGUAGCAAGGUUAACCGAAUAGGGGAGCCGAAGGGAAACCGAGUCUUAACUGGGCGUUAAGUUGCAGGGUAUAGACCCGAAACCCGGUGAUCUAGCCAUGGGCAGGUUGAAGGUUGGGUAACACUAACUGGAGGACCGAACCGACUAAUGUUGAAAAAUUAGCGGAUGACUUGUGGCUGGGGGUGAAAGGCCAAUCAAACCGGGAGAUAGCUGGUUCUCCCCGAAAGCUAUUUAGGUAGCGCCUCGUGAACUCAUCUCCGGGGGUAGAGCACUGUUUCGGCAAGGGGGUCAUCCGACUUACCAACCCGA